rnacentral:pre_miRNA from 1 species
CCCUCCGUCCGAAAAUACUUGUCAUCAAAAUGGAUAAAAAGAGAUGUAUCUAAAACUAAAAUACGUCUAGAUACAUUUCCUUUUAUCCAUUUUGAUGACAAGUAUUUCCGGACAGAGGGAGUAUUUG